rnacentral:rRNA from 1 species
UACGGAGGAUGCGAGCGUUAUCCGGAUUUAUUGGGUUUAAAGGGUGCGUAGGCGGGAUGCCAAGUCAGCGGUAAAAAUGCGGUGCUCAACGCCGUCGAGCCGUUGAAACUGGCGUUCUUGAGUGGGCGAGAAGUAUGCGGAAUGCGUGGUGUAGCGGUGAAAUGCAUAGAUAUCACGCAGAACUCCGAUUGCGAAGGCAGCAUACCGGCGCCCUACUGACGCUGAGGCUCGAAAGCGUGGGGAGCAAACAGG